rnacentral:tRNA from 1 species
CAAUAGGUAGUUUGAUCCCAAGAAUUUCGGCUUUGGGUGCCGGCGGAGGGGGUGAAAAUCCCCCCCUUUUGA